AACCGCCGUAUACGGAACCGUACGUACGGUGGUGUGAGAGGUCGGGGCCUCCUACUCGAU
rnacentral:ncRNA from 1 species